rnacentral:rRNA from 1 species
AUUGAACGCUGGCGGCAGGCCUAACACAUGCAAGUCGAGCGGAUGAAGGGGGCUUGCUCCUGGAUUCAGCGGCGGACGGGUGAGUAAUGCCUAGGAAUCUGCCUGGUAGUGGGGGAUAACGUCCGGAAACGGGCGCUAAUACCGCAUACGUCCUGAGGGAGAAAGUGGGGGAUCUUCGGACCUCACGCUAUCAGAUGAGCCUAGGUCGGAUUAGCUAGUUGGUGGGGUAAAGGCCUACCAAGGCGACGAUCCGUAACUGGUCUGAGAGGAUGAUCAGUCACACUGGAACUGAGACACGGUCCAGACUCCUACGGGAGGCAGCAGUGGGGAAUAUUGGACAAUGGGCGAAAGCCUGAUCCAGCCAUGCCGCGUGUGUGAAGAAGGUCUUCGGAUUGUAAAGCACUUUAAGUUGGGAGGAAGGGCAGUAAGUUAAUACCUUGCUGUUUUGACGUUACCAACAGAAUAAGCACCGGCUAACUUCGUGCCAGCAGCCGCGGUAAUACGAAGGGUGCAAGCGUUAAUCGGAAUUACUGGGCGUAAAGCGCGCGUAGGUGGUUCAGCAAGUUGGAUGUGAAAUCCCCGGGCUCAACCUGGGAACUGCAUCCAAAACUACUGAGCUAGAGUACGGUAGAGGGUGGUGGAAUUUCCUGUGUAGCGGUGAAAUGCGUAGAUAUAGGAAGGAACACCAGUGGCGAAGGCGACCACCUGGACUGAUACUGACACUGAGGUGCGAAAGCGUGGGGAGCAAACAGGAUUAGAUACCCUGGUAGUCCACGCCGUAAACGAUGUCGACUAGCCGUUGGGAUCCUUGAGAUCUUAGUGGCGCAGCUAACGCGAUAAGUCGAACGCCUGGGGAGUACGGCCGCAAGGUUA